rnacentral:rRNA from 1 species
CCUACGGGUGGCAGCAGUGGGGAAUAUUUGGCAAUGGGCGCAAGCCUGACCCAGCAACGCCGCGUGAAGGAAGAAGGCUUUCGGGUUGUAAACUUCUUUUGACAGGGAAGCGUAGAAGACGGUACCUGUCGAAUAAGCCACGGCUAACUACGUGCCAGCAGCCGCGGUAAUACGUAGGUGGCAAGCGUUGUCCGGAUUUACUGGGGGUAAAGGGCGUGUAUCCGGGUGGACAAGUCAGAUGUGAAAUCUUGCGGCUUAACCGCCGAACUGCAUUUGAACAUGUUUGUCUUGAGUACCGGAGAGGUCAUCGGAAUUCCUGGGGUAGCAGUGAAAUGCGUAGAUAUAAGGAAGAACACCAGUGGCGAAGGCGGAUGACUGGACGGCAACUGACGGUGAGGCGCGAAAGCGUGGGGAGCAAACAGGAUUAGAUACCCCUGUAGUC